rfam:Azospirillum brasilense Sp245 plasmid AZOBR_p1 complete genome
GAUCAAGCGUCUGAAGGGCAUCUGGUGGAUGCCUUGGCACUGAGAGGCGAUGAAGGACGCAGCACGUUGCGAUAAGCCAUGGGGAGCCGCGAGCAGGCUUUGAUCCGUGGAUUUCCGAAUGGGGCAACCCACCGCGCAAGCGGUAUCCCAUGCUGAAUUCAUAGGCGUGGGAGGCGAACCCGGCGAACUGAAACAUCUAAGUAGCCGGAGGAAAGGACAUCAACCGAGACUCCGCUAGUAGUGGCGAGCGAACGCGGACCAGGCCAGUCAUUCAGUCUACAUAACCGGAACCGUCUGGAAAGGCGGGCCAGAGCGGGUGAUAGCCCCGUACGGGUAAACCGGACUGAAUGCUCGAGUAGGGCGGGGCACGUGAAACCCUGUCCGAACAUGGGGGGACCACCCUCCAAGCCUAAGUACUCCUCAGUGACCGAUAGUGCACCAGUACCGUGAGGGAAAGGUGAAAAGCACCCCGACGAGGGGAGUGAAACAGUUCCUGAAACCGGAUGCCUACAAGCAGUCGGAGCGGCCUUGCGCCGUGACGGCGUACCUUUUGUAUAAUGGGUCAGCGACUUACAGUAAGCAGCGAGCUUAAGGCGAUAGCCGGAGGCGCAGCGAAAGCGAGUCUGAAGAGGGCGCUUGAGUUGCUUGCUGUAGACCCGAAACCCGGUGAUCUAGCCAUGGGCAGGUUGAAGGUGCGGUAACACGCACUGGAGGACCGAACUCACGCCUGUUGAAAAAGUCGGAGAUGACCUGUGGCUAGGGGUGAAAGGCCAAUCAAACCGGGAAAUAGCUGGUUCUCCGCGAAAGCUAUUUAGGUAGCGCGUCGGGCGAUUGCCCACGGGGGUAGAGCACUGGAUGGGCUAGGGGGCCUCGCGGCUUACCAAACCUAACCAAACUCCGAAUACCGUGGAGCACAGCCCGGCAGACAGACGGUGGGUGCUAAGGUCCAUCGUCGAGAGGGAAACAGCCCAGACCGCCAGCUAAGGUCCCCAAAUCACGGCUAAGUGGGAAAGGAUGUGGGAAGGCCAUGACAACCAGGAGGUUGGCUUAGAAGCAGCCAUCCUUUAAAGAAAGCGUAAUAGCUCACUGGUCUAGUUAAGCCGGCCUGCGCCGAAAAUGUAUCGGGGCUCAAGCCGUGUACCGAAGCUGCGGAUGUGAUCUCUGAUCACGUGGUAGCGGAGCGUUCCGUAAGCCUGCGAAGGGUCCCCGCGAGGGUGCCUGGAGGUAUCGGAAGUGAGAAUGCUGACAUGAGUAGCGACAAACAGUGUGAGAAACACUGUCGCCGAAAGUCCAAGGGUUCCUGCGCAAGGUUAAUCCACGCAGGGUGAGCCGGCCCCUAAGGCGAGGCCGAAAGGCGUAGUCGAUGGGAACCACGUUAANNNNNNNNNNNNNNNNNNNNNNNNNNNNNNNNNNNNNNNNNNNNNNNNNNNNNNNNNNNNNNNNNNNNNNNNNNNNNNNNNNNNNNNNNNNNNNNNNNNNUCGAGCAGAGACGAAAGUCGGCCAUAGUGAUCCGGUGGUUCCAUGUUUACGGGCCAUCGCUCAACGGAUAAAAGGUACGCCGGGGAUAACAGGCUGAUGACUCCCAAGAGUCCAUAUCGACGGAGUCGUUUGGCACCUCGAUGUCGGCUCAUCACAUCCUGGGGCUGGAGCAGGUCCCAAGGGUUCGGCUGUUCGCCGAUUAAAGUGGUACGUGAGCUGGGUUUAGAACGUCGUGAGACAGUUCGGUCCCUAUCUGCCGUGGGUGUCGGAGUUUUGCGAGGAUCUGUCCCUAGUACGAGAGGACCGGGAUGGACAUACCUCUGGUGCACCGGUUGUCACGCCAGUGGCAUGGCCGGGUAGCUAAGUAUGGACGGGAUAACCGCUGAAAGCAUCUAAGCGGGAAACCCACCUCUAAACCAGAACUCCCUUGAGAGCCGUGACAGACCAUCACGUCGAUAGGAGGCAUGUGGACGGGCGGCAACGCCUGAAGCUGAGCCUUACUAAUCGCUCGAUCGGCUUGAUCCU